rnacentral:rRNA from 1 species
AUUGAACGCUGGCGGCAUGCUUUACACAUGCGAGUCGAACGGUAACAGGCCGCAAGGUGCUGACGAGUGGCGAACGGGUGAGUAAUGCAUCGGAACGUGCCCAGUCGUGGGGGAUAACGCAGCGAAAGCUGCGCUAAUACCGCAUACGAUCUCUGGAUGAAAGCGGGGGACCGAAAGGCCUCGCGCGAUUGGAGCGGCCGAUGUCAGAUUAGGUAGUUGGUGGGGUAAAGGCCCACCAAGCCAACGAUCUGUAGCGGGUCUGAGAGGACGACCAGACAAACUGGGGCUGAGACACGGCCCAGACUCCUACGGGGGGCAGCAGUGGGGAAUUUUGGAAAAUGGGCGCAAGCCUGAUCCAGCAAUGCCGCGUGCAGGAAGAAGGCCUUCGGGUUGUAAACUGCUUUUGUACGGAACGAAACGGCCCGGGUUAAUACCCUGGGCUAAUGACGGUACCGUAAGAAUAAGCACCGGCUAACUACGUGCCAGCCGCCGCCGUAACAC